UUUGGUAAGUUACUAAGGGCAAACGGCGGAUGCCUUGGCACAAGUAGGCGAUGAAAGACGUGGUAAGCUGCGAAAAGUUACGGUUAGGAGCACACAUCCUUAGACCCGUAAAUCUCUGAAUGGGGCAACCCAAUAGGUGUAAUGACCUAUUACCUUUGUAUAAGGAGUCAACCCGGAGAACUGAAACAUCUAAGUAUCCGGAGGAAUAGAAAGUAAAAACGAUUCCCUAAGUAGCGGCGAGCGAACCGGGAAGAGCCUAAAAUCAAUGGAUGUCAAAAGUGCAGUUCUUGUCCAUUGGUGGUAGUGGGAUUAUUGUUGAUAUCUCUGCAUGGAUAUCGGAGAGUUACAAAAUGAUUUGAUAGUGGAACAAUCUGGAAAGUUUGGCCAUAGUGGGUGAUAGCCCUUUACACGAAAUCACUUCAUCUCUCUUCAAUAACACCCGAGUAAGGCGGGACACGAGGAACCCUGUCUGAAUCCGGCUGGACCAUCAGCUAAGGCUAAAUACUCACUUGUGACCGAUAGCGUAUAGUACCGUGAGGGAAAGGUGAAAAGUACCCCUGUAGGGGAGUGAAAUAGAACCUGAAACCGUUUGUCUACAAGCAGUUGGAGCUUCUUAAUGAAGCGACAGCGUGCCUUUUGCAUAAUGAGCCAGCGAGUUACCGUAAGUUGCAAGGUUAAGUGCGUAUCGCAUGUAACCGAAGCGAAAGCGAGUGUUAAUAGCGCGUCUAGUAACUUGUGGUAGACCCGAAACCUGAUGAGCUACCCAUGUCCAGGUUGAAGUUGCAGUAAAAUGUAAUGGAGGACCGAACCAGGUGAAGUUAAAAAUUCAUUGGAUGAGGUGUGGGUAGGGGUGAAAGGCCAAUCAAAUCAGGAGAUAGCUGGUUCUCCCCGAAAUAGCUUUAGGGCUAGCCUCAAUUAUGUAUCUAGGAGGUAGAGCACUGUCAAGACGCGGGCGGCUACCACCGUACCAACUCUUAGCAAACUUCGAAUGCCUACGAUAUAGAGAUUGGGAGUCAGGGAGCGGGCGACAAGGUCCGUUUCCGAGAGGGAAACAACCCGGACUAGCAGCUAAGGUCCCAAAGUGUAAUCUAAGUGAAUAAGGAUGUCAAAUUGCAUAAACAACCAGGAUGUUGGCUUAGAAGCAGCCACCAUUUAAAGAGUGCGUAAUAGCUCACUGGUCUAGUGGUUUUGCGCCGAUAAUUUCCGGGACUAAGAUUACCACCGAAGCUCUAGACUCUACGGAUUGGUAGGGGAGCGUUCUGUAAGCCGUUGAAGGUGCAUGGUGAUGUGCAUUGGAGGUAUCAGAAAUGAGGAUGCUGGCAUGAGUAACGAGAGGGGAGUAAAAAACUCCCCCACCGAAAAUCUAAGGUUUCCUGAGUAAAGCUAAUCUUCUCAGGGUUAGUCGAUCCCUAAGGCAAGGCCGCGAGGCGUAGUUAAUGGGUAACAGGUUAAUAUUCCUGUACUAACAUUAGAUCGUUUUAAGGUAAAGGAGAGACACAGGAGUGAACACAGAUCCGGUUAUUGGAUUCCGGUUUAAGGACGUAGUGAGGGAUGGCAGGCAAAUCCACCGUUCCAAUCAUAAAAUCCGAGUACGAGCCUUUAAGGCGAAGUCUGUCUAAUCAUACUGUCGAGAAAAUCUUCGUUACUAGAGUUAAUGUUAAUCGUACCGCAAACCGACACAGGUAGAUGGGAUGAGUAUUCUAAGGUGCUCGAGAGAACUACUGCUAAGGAACUCGGCAAAAUGAACCCGUAACUUCGGGAUAAGGGUUGCCUGUCUUUAUGGCAGGUCGCAGAGAAAUGGCGUAUGCGACUGUUUAUCAAAAACACAGGACUAUGCGAACUCGUAAGAGGCAGUAUAUGGUCUGACACCUGCCCGGUGCUGGAAGGUUAAGGGGAUCAGUUAGGUUUUUAAUCGAAGCUGUGAUCCGAAGCCCCAGUAAACGGCGGCCGUAACUAUAACGGUCCUAAGGUAGCGAAAUUCCUUGUCGGGUAAGUUCCGACCCGCACGAAUGGUGUAACGAUGUACGCGCUGUCUCAGCAGUAGACUCGGUGAAAUUGAAUUAUCGGUGAAGAUGCCGAUUACCCGCGACUGGACGGAAAGACCCCGUGAACCUUUACUGCAGCUUGACAUUGUGUUUUGUUAUUACAUGUGUAGGAUAGGUGGGAGACAAUGAAGCGGGCACGCUAGUGUUCGUGGAGUCAACCUUGAAAUACCACCCUUGUACUAAUGGAAUUCUAACCGCGGUCAUUGAAUCAUGAUCCGGGACAUUGUCUGGUGGGUAGUUUGACUGGGGCGGUCGCCUCCCAAAUAGUAACGGAGGCGCGCAAAGGUAACCUCAGCAUGGUCGGUAAUCAUGCGAAGAGUGUAAAGGCAUAAGGUUGCCUAACUGUGAGACAUACAGGUCGAACAGGUACGAAAGUAGGUCUUAGUGAUCCGGUGGUUUAGUAUGGAAUUGCCAUCGCUCAACGGAUAAAAGGUACUCCGGGGAUAACAGGCUUAUCUCCCCCAAGAGUUCACAUCGACGGGGAGGUUUGGCACCUCGAUGUCGGCUCAUCACAUCCUGGGGCUGAAGAAGGUCCCAAGGGUUUGGCUGUUCGCCAAUUAAAGUGGUACGCGAGCUGGGUUCAAAACGUCGUGAGACAGUUUGGUCCCUAUCCGUCGCGGGCGUAUGAUAUUUGAGGAAAUCUGACUCUAGUACGAGAGGACCGAGUUGGGUGAAUCACUGGUGCACCUGUUGUCACGCCAGUGGCACAGCAGGGUAGCUACAUUCAUUCGGGAUAAGCACUGAAUGCAUCUAAGUGCGAAACCCCUUCCAAGAUAAGAUAUCACUUCAGACCCCUUGUAGAUUACAAGGUUGAUAGGUAUCAGGUGUAAGUGCAGUAAUGUAUUUAGCCGAGAUAUACUAAUCGGUCGUGCGACUUACCUUUAGUUUUAU
rnacentral:rRNA from 1 species